ensembl:lncRNA
GAAACAUUUGGCAGCUACUGUUUCUCACAUCAGUGAUGGCCUUCUUGGCCUUCUCCUCUGCAUUUCUGGCUUCCUGAAUAGUGUCAUCAACUUCACUCUGGAUCUGAACAAGUCACCGUAGAGGAUUCUGCUGGGGAAGCCCUUUCUGCAGAUUCUGAUGCCCUCCAGCACACCGUUACACCUCAGCUGGUGGAUAACCAGGAAGUUCUCCAUCAGACCUGUAGGAAUCAGUUUACAUCAUGAGCUAGCAAUAUUGCUGUGACAUCAUACCCUGAACUGGGAGGACACAGUCUGCAUGGAGCCACCCUUCUUCUUGCCUCCCUUCUUUCCA